GAGACUCAGAGAAGAAGGCCAUGAGAAGACAGAGGCAGAGAUUGAAGUGAUAUUGCCACGAGCUGAGGACCACAUGGAGCCACAAGAAGCUGGAAGAGUGCCUCCCAAGGUGACUGUGUCCUGUCAGAUGCUCCAGAAGACAGCAUCACCUGUCUGCCCUUGCCUCUGGCCUUUGCCCUUGCUCCAUCCUGUUUCACUGGAAGAAGGACUAGGUGCUCGCAUGAAUCUGGAACAAAUGAGGCCUCCAAGGAAGAGGAGGAGGUGUCCUGAUUCGGCAGAAAAAUUUGAGUCACCAGCUUGGUGAGAAGCUCAUAGCAACCUUCAGAGAAAUUUCACGCCCUUGAAGGUUUCUGCAAGAACCCUUUUACCCCUUUCUUGUCCUUAACCUCCACUCUGCUAGACGCCCCCCAUGGCGAGCAUGAAAAUGCGCCUGUCAGAUCUCCACUUCCAGGGAGUGUAAUUGAUGGAGGUCCUGAGCUGCUGUGCUCUGAAAUCCAUCACCUCCUGGGUGUUGAGGCCACACUUCUGACAGUGUUCUCCCAGUCAAAGGCAGAGUGCAGUGGGGACACUAAGGCAGGAUACCAAGGGGAUGCCUGGGGGAUGUAAGACUCCUUUGAUGGGUCACUGGCUCCAGUACCCCGCACUGGCCUUGCCAAAAACUCCUUGGAUGAUGAGCAUCCUGGGAUGAUUCCACCCAGCCUCCUCUCUUCUC